CUAACACAUGCAAGUCGAACGGCAGCACAGGAGAGCUUGCUCUCUGGGUGGCGAGUGGCGGACGGGUGAGGAAUGCGUCGGAAUCUGCCUAUUUGUGGGGGAUAACGUAGGGAAACUUACGCUAAUACCGCAUACGACCUACGGGUGAAAGUGGGGGACCGCAAGGCCUCACGCAGAUAGAUGAGCCGACGCCGGAUUAGCUAGUUGGCGGGGUAAAGGCCCACCAAGGCGACGAUCCGUAGCUGGUCUGAGAGGAUGAUCAGCCACACUGGAACUGAGACACGGUCCAGACUCCUACGGGAGGCAGCAGUGGGGAAUAUUGGACAAUGGGCGCAAGCCUGAUCCAGCCAUGCCGCGUGUGUGAAGAAGGCCUUCGGGUUGUAAAGCACUUUUGUCCGGAAAGAAAACCUUUCGAUUAAUACUCGGAGGGAAUGACGGUACCGAAG
rnacentral:rRNA from 1 species